AAAGGAGACAAGGAGGUGAGGAGAAGCAGAAAAGCUCCAUCAUCCUCUGAGCUGCUCAAGUGCAUCCUGAACCUGCUCACCUGUCAGUCUCAACAAGCACCAGCAUCUCCUGAUGCUUACACAAAAAAAUUCACACCUCACUCGCCCCUGUAUGGUGUGUAUGAAACAUUAGCUGUUCGGAUCAAAUGAGUUUUUUGAACCAGGCUGUUAACACCUGCAUUUCUGCUGUAACAUUUGGUAUCUUAACAUCGCUGUUAACGGUGUGUGAUCAAUUUUUGGAGACGGCCUCUUGUGGACACUCGAAGAAGUGCUCAAAGAAGUGCAGUUUUAGCACUUCAGUAUUAACCUCAUAUUUCAACAUCGGAGAAUGCUGUGUGUUGCUGAUGUAAGCUGUUGCUUGUGGGCGUUCAAAUCAUAAACUGUCUAUAGAAUGGGCGCCGUCUGCCUCCUCGCUGAGUGAAGCCACUCUGAGAACAGCACACUCUGGUGACAGGCUGCAGUAUAGGUCAUAAAUCCCGCCUCUUUUUUCUGUACAUCUCUGUUUUUAAAAGUUAUUGGGGGUUCAAGUUUUCUAUGAUUGAUAUUUGAUACAGCCUAUGGGCGUAUGAAGAUUGCGUAGCUCACCCGGGGGAUACGCCGUUUGAGCCAAGAGUCAUCACAGCGACUCUACUGCCGAAUGCGUACAAUACUAUUGCGCAAGUGGUGCAGUGCGUACAACGCCACUGCGCAAUAUUGGUUUCAGGAAGUGGAGAAUAAAUCCGGAAAUACCGAGAGCUUUUCGACUUCAAAUCCGUAUACUGGCGGAAGGCAGAACCAAGUUGUCCAUGGUAUAUACAGUGUAUGGUUCAAAUAUGUCGUUUCAAAUAACAAUAUGGUCUAAUUUCCAUACAGGUUUACACACUUUGCUGUCUACAUAGUAAGAAAAAAUCAAAAGAGUAGAUUAAAUGAUAACUAUUAUUCAUAACCAAAUUUCAUCAAAUCAGUACAAUGGUUUUACACCUUUAGCAUGACCUCAGAGAACAUGGCUGCUUUGUGUUGAUGGUGAAUGUUUUGUGUUAGUUCUUUCUCUAUUAAUAACCCUCUUUACAUGUAGUUUGUACUAUGACAUUUGACACAUCUUUGUCGGCUUCCAUUUUGUUUCUCUGUUAUAUCACACAGCAGAAAGAGCCGCCUGCAGGAGGAGCCUCUUCCAUUUCCUUAUUCACAUCCUUCAGCUCUUACUAAAGGAUCCCGGCCCUGAUAAUGGGAUACGUAAUCUUGUCACGACGGCCCGGGUGUGCUCACAGCUGGGUGUGCCUGGAACAUGUCCACUUGGAUGUGUCCAGGAGGUGUCCUUAUCAAGUGAUUAGGACAAGUCCAUGAACCAGCUCAGCUGUCUCCUUUGAAAGGGAAGGUGGGGCUGUUUCUGGGUAAAAAAUAACCAGGUUUAGAGCUUGAAAUUUUAUUUUCCCUUCGAUGUUUUCAAAUUCACACAUAAUAAUCCUGAAGUAGCAGAGCCAGCUCUAAGUACUACCAGCACGUGUUCAUUGUGAAGGUCUCAGGCCUCGGUGCCUCACACUCACACAUUACAUCACACUGAACUCUUAAAACAAUCUGCACAACACCAUGUGCCGCUGCUGCUGCUGCAGAGCUCAGGGUGGACUUUGCUCAACCCUCGGCUGUAAAGAAAGGCCAGUCUGCUGCUCUAAGCUGAAAGAUCGCUGCCACAGGUGAUUAACGGGCUUCCAGGCACACAGUCUGAGCACAUUUCUCAGUACAGAAGCUAUAUACACAGGUGACUGGCUCAACACAAAUUUCUGAGGGUGGUUAUCAGGAGAGGAUGCUAAAUAAGGAGGAAGGAUGAAUGAAAUGUGUUAAAACAAUAAGGAGAGGAAACAAGGGGUGAUAAAGUCAUAAAAAUGUUCAAAUGACUUGAUAUAGAUUGAUGAAAAGAUGGAGAAAGAUGGAGAAGAAGGUGUGGUACUUUCUUAUUAAUUCUCCGUAGGUUGCACAUUCUGCUGCCGGUCUCAGAAAGCCGGCUCUCCACUUCCUCUUUACCCCACUUCCUGCCGCUGCUGCUGGCCUAUGCCCUUAUAUGGCAGCCGCCGACAGCCAAUCAGAGGGCGGCAGGCAGCUCAUUCAAACGGCGAGUGUUGGAGCUGAGAAGGGUGGGAACUGCAAACAGAAAUGAACGGCAUCGCUUUUUAUACAAAACAAUAUGGCUCACACAAUCACUCUCACACAUAUACACACACACAGAGACCUGCCUGCUGGCUUGAAACAAUAACGAUGUGCUACAAUGCAACAAAGCAAAGCAACAAAUGCAAACUUUACUCAGCAAAUCAUGCUGCAGCGACACAACGAAGCUGUUUUUGUCUGGCCAAAAAAUAAAGAGGAGAGGGGGGCUCAGUUACUAUGCAGAGGAGAGGAGAGGAGAAAUUAGGUUGUUGCAGCAACACAGACAUGCUUAUCAAGAAAGUAACGCAAUAAGAAUAAAAUUAAACCCAAUAGAAUAAGAUUAAAAAUUUAGUAAAAAAUAAAAUAAGAGGCAUAUAUAUUGUUGCAAUGGCUUGAAUGAUAAAGCAGUAUAGAGAGGAGUCUGGACAUGUUAUGCAAAAGUGUCAGGUUAGGAGUGUUAUUCUACAAAAAUGGAGGAGAUGGUCAUGUAAAGCUGCACUGAGUGGACAAACACAACACCAAAUAAACUGAGAAGCACAGUGUGGAAGUAUUUUAGAUUGCAGAUGGGGAAAAAAAGGCAGACAGGGUUAUGUGUCGACUUUGUACAUAACAGAUCUCCUGAGCGUCAAUUACAAGUUUGUUGGCUCACCUGAUGGCUUGCCACCUAUGAGAAGUGGCCAAGGAGUCACCACUGAAGGAUGAAAAGAUAGAUAGAUAGAUAGAUAGAUAGAUAGAUAGAUAGAUAGAUAGAUAGAUAGAUAGAUAGAUAGAUAGAUAGAUAGAUAGAUAGAUAGAUAGAUAGUUGAAGUUUGUCUGUUACAUAAUAAUGGAAAAAAAAUGUAAGAACAGAAAAUAGUGCAGCAUUACAUUGUUUAACCCCUAACCUUAAUUCUGUGGAGUAAGCAUGAAGCAUAGAGGUUGGACUUAACUGACAACUAAAAUAGCUCUUUUGUUGAACUGAUGAUCCAUGCUUUUUUAGCAACCAAUAAAGAAAGAAACAUGAAGAGAAUGACAGAAAUCUCAGAUAUGAAGAGAUGAUGAUAAGAGAAAAGUUCUGGGAGGCUCAACAGGCUGUAAUGUUAUGUAAGAACAUUCAAACAGAGAUGAAUAACUGCCAGAGGACUGCAGACCAAAGUGCAUGGGCGUGUGGAGGUGGCUGACCUCUCUCUGCAGCUGAGGGGGCUGCACUGCAAUAAGGAAGAUCAGGAAGCAGAAGUAGGGCUGGGGCCGGUCAGCAGGCUGGAGAAUUCACCAAAAAGAGCCAAUCAGGAGGCUGGAAGGGUGUGAAAGGAGCCAAUCUGAAAGCAGGAGCUCUCCCAGCAGACAGAGACAGAUGGCUGAGGAUUGAUAAGCCUCUCUGGGUUAAACAUGCAGGGAUGAAUAAGGAGUGUGUGUGUGUGUGUGUGUGUGUGUGUGUGUGUGUGUGUGUGUGUGUGUGUGUGUGUGUGUGUGUGUGUGUGUGUGUGUGUGUGUGUGUGUGUGUCAGAAUUAGUUACAGAGACAGAAAACUCACUCCUCUCAGUUUGAAUUUACAGAUCAAGAUUGAUUCAACAUGUCACGCCCAUGUUGUGCACAGUUCCUUAUUUAGCGUUCACCAUCUUUUAGAAGCUAGAUCAUUUAGUGUGUAUGCAUUUAUGUCUCUGUAAGAAGUCAACACAUCCAUUUUUCUCCUCUCUGACUACCUCUGGUGGUUUUCCUUUCAUGGUUUGGCAACAAGACGCCGUCAUCAAACUCUAGAGUUUGUAGGUAAACCAGAAUAAAGCCUCACAACCUUAAAAGGCACCUCAUGCUCAGAUUUGGACCAAUUAGAGGCAAGAACAGCAAGAGGAAGUGAGGUGCGUUCACAGGAAGAGGAAGAGGAGAAGAACAGGGGGUCUGUUCAUGAGGAACAGAGAAACACUCGUGAGGUUAUCACACUAACUGGGCCUCUGUAGUGAGGCUCCCUUCCUUUGACAGAGAUAAAGUGAGAACUGAGUUAUGGCAUUAGUAUAGAAAAGUUUUGGGGCCAGGGGUGAGAGGAAAAGAGGAAGAUCUGUUCUUAUUAUGCACUCAGAAAAUGAAGCUGAAAUGUCAUCAAAAGAGUUGAAAGUUCAUGAUUAAGAUCAAAUCCAAAGUGAAGGCGUCACAUUGUUAACCUAAGACAUUUUUUCAAUUUCCUGCAGUGCAG
rnacentral:lncRNA from 1 species